rnacentral:lncRNA from 1 species
GGGGUUGCUGGGGAAAUUGAAAAGCAAAAGAAAUACAUUGAGCUUAUGAGUUGAAAAAGAAAAAUGCAUGAGAAAAGAAAACGAAUGAAAGAAAAAGCAUGAACCACAAGCUCAAUGUAAAAAUAAGAAAGGAAGAAGUUGGGAAUGAGUGAGAUUGGUGGAAAAGAGAGUUUGUACUUGAACUUCGAAUGCUAAAAUAACUCUCUUGACUCAAGGAUUUUGUGCUUCUAGAAGAACCAAUUUUUCUUGUCAGCGCAACCUCAUUAUAAGCUUGGUAAAAGUCCUUGUGAUGAUAUUUGCAUGCAAGAAUGUUGAUUGUUUAGAUGAAGG